UCUGAAAGAAGAAGCAAUCGGCGAAUUGGCAUAAAUUGGACUCAAUGAAGGCAAAUUGGAUCUAACCAAAUCGUCUCAGCCUUCCUCUCGCCUUUGCUCUUACGCUUUUGUGUCACUGUCGAAAAAUUCUUUCGAAGGAUUCAAGAAUUAAAUUGGCCAGAUAAGUUUGAUCAAAAUGACGGAAAAGCUACUAGUCAUUUAGAAAUACAAGGCGUGGUGCAUUCGUACUCGCGAACCAGUUUCAGAUAUUCUAUACGGAAAGAAGAGAACAGCGACGACAGUAAAAGGAAACUUAAACUGAGAAGUCGCGCGCAGCUGUCGCGGCCAAGCUUUAUCUGUCGCGUGUGCAAGAUUACUGAUAAACGAGUCUUUACCUGGAAGAACAACAUGAAGCACACCCAUUGGUAGUAAGUGUAAUAUUUCCUUGCAUCCACAUCGCCGAAGUCGUUCGCCACUCCUGGAUGCGCCACCUCUACACCGACCUGAUAAAAGGAACAAAUGUUCUGUCAACAAUAGGACGUAUCAGAAAUAUUGGUCAAAAGGAUAAUUAGCGUUACAAAUAUAUGACAAAAAAUGGAAAAAUUAAUAAUUAUUAAGAAAUUAUAUAUCAACUACACGAAUUAUUCUUAAUUAAGUAUCAUAACAAAGUUUCUGA